rnacentral:rRNA from 1 species
GAUGAACGCUAGCGGCAGGCUUAAUACAUGCAAGUCGUGGGGCAGCAGCUUUAUAGCAAUAUAGAGGCUGGCGACCGGCAAACGGGUGCGGAACACGUACUGAACCUUCCUUUAAGUGGGGAAUAGCCCAGAGAAAUUUGGAUUAAUACCCCGUAACAUAUAGAAGUGGCAUCGCUUUUAUAUUAAAGCUCCGGCGCUUAAAGAUGGCAGUGCGGCUGAUUAGGUAGUUGGCGGGGUAACGGCCCACCAAGCCUACGAUCAGUAACUGGUGUGAGAGCACGACCAGUCACACGGGCACUGAGACACGGGCCCGACUCCUACGGGAGGCAGCAGUAAGGAAUAUUGGUCAAUGGACGGAAGUCUGAACCAGCCAUGCCGCGUGGAGGAUGAAGGUCCUCUGGAUUGUAAACUUCUUUUAUCUGGGACGAAAAAGGGCUUUUCUAAGUCGACUGACGGUACCAGAUGAAUAAGCACCGGCUAACUCCGUGCCAGCAGCCGCAGUAAUAC